UACGUAGGGGGCGAGCGUUGUCCGGAAUCACUGGGCGUAAAGCGCGCGCAGGCGGUCUUUUACGUCCGGGGUGAAGGUCCAGGGCUCAACCCUGGGAUGGCCUUGGAUACGGGAAGACUUGAGGAUCGGAGAGGCAAGGGGAAUUCCACGUGUAGCGGUGAAAUGCGUAGAGAUGUGGAGGAACACCAGUGGCGAAGGCGCCUUGCUGGCCGAUAACUGACGCUGAGGCGCGAAAGCGUGGGGAGCAAACAGG
rnacentral:rRNA from 1 species